rnacentral:misc_RNA from 1 species
UCUGAAGAUCCUCCUGC